AUAAAUCAUUAAAUAUAAAAGAUUUGGCGGUAUUUUAAAUAAUUAGAGGAACCUGUAUAAUAAUUGAUAAUCCACAAUAAGAUUUACUUAAAUAUUUAUGUAUUGCUGUUUAAAGAUUAUUAUUAAUUAAAUUUUUGAAUUUUUAAUUUAAUUUAAUUCAAGUCAAAAUAUAGUUUAAUUAAGAUAUGGGUUACAAUUUAUUUUUGAGAUUGGAUUUAAUAGUAA
rnacentral:rRNA from 1 species